AGAUUAUUAGGUUUUACUGGGUAAACAAAGAGUUUUGAAAACUUUUUACAAGUGUUCGAUUCACUUAAAAACUU
rnacentral:tRNA from 1 species